UCUGGGAUUUGUCUUUAUUGCUACUUCUGAGGUACCAAAAACGGUCGGAAGGGAAGUCAUCGUCUUUUCCUAGGAGGUAACCGGGGAGGAUGAGAGAGAAACCCAUAAGAGAACCAUCUGAUUCCUGUCUGCCCAGUUAAAAGACUCCUACAGNGCCCCUGCCGCCCGGGGCAGCUCGGCGAGGUUGUCCAGGACUUGCUCCAUCUUGGCUGCCUGCGCUGCGGAAGAAAAGGGAGGAGAUGAGGCCGGGCGAGGGACGGGUCAGCAGGAGGCCGGAGCCGGCUGGUCAAACAUUCACGGGCCAACAGGGCUGGGGAGGCGGCCGGGGCGCUCACGGCCUCGUGCCUCGCCCGGUGCCUCUCCGGGCCUGGCACAGCCCAGGCUGCCCAAGAGCCCUUCCGGACACGGCCUCGAUGGGCCUCCAGGUUCGCCCCUGGACGCCGGGGAGGGCCCGUCUGGAUGCUGAUGUCCAGGGUCAUCGGGGGAGGCGGAGGGGGUCCUGCGGCUGGGAGGCCUCGUGAAUGCAGCCCGAAGAAUAUGAGGCGGUGCCGGGCUCCGGGGGGCCCCGCCGCCCCUCUGCCGCACGAGAUGAGCCCCCCCCCCCCCGGGAUGGAUGUGGCAUCGUCCGGGUCUCCCCCCGCCGCGGCCGGGACGCGCAAAACCCGGGUCCCCACGGAGGGAGCUUCCCCCCUGCUGCCAAGGGACCAGAAGGGGUCAGAGCAAGCCCGCGAGCCGCCCGGGGCCCCGGCCCAGCGCAGACCCCGGGGCCUGCUUCUGGCCAGCUCUCAGGGCCCGACUGCAGCGAGAGAGCUUGGGACGGUGCCCGGGUCGGUGCCCGGGUUGGUGCCGCUUCAGCGGAACCCUUUGUGCCCCGAGAGCCAGGUGGCGCUCGGAGAGCCUCGAGGGCUGCCCAGGGCCAUGACGUCAUGGUAGCCUGGAGGGGUGACCCCACUGGACAGAGGAGGACCCCAAGGCGGGGGAAGCGGGGCUGGUGGCUCCCCUCACGCGCCAACACAGGCCCGCUAGGCGACAGAGGCAGGAGUGAAGUGGUGGCAGGAAGCAUGAGGGGAGCACGAGGGGAGCACGAGGAGAGCACGAGGGGAGCACGGGAGCACGAGGGGAGCACGAGGAGAGCACGAGGGGAGCACGGGAGCACGAGGGGAGCACGAGGGGAGCANNNNNNNNCGAGGGGAGCACGAGGAGAGCACGAGGAGAGCACGAGGAGAGCAGGAGGGGAGCACGAGGGGAGCACGAGGAGAGCACGAGGGGAGCACGAGGGGAGCACGAGGGGAGCACGAGGGGAGUACAGGAGCACGAGGGGAGCACGGGAGCACGAGGGGAGCACAAGGAGAGCACGAGGGGAGCACGGGAGCACGAGGGGAGUACGGGAGCACGAGGGGAGCACGAGGGGAGCACGAGGGGAGCACGAGGAGAGCACGAGGGGAGCACGAGGGGAGCACGAGGGGUGCUCGUGAGCUCUAGGGGAGCACGAUGGGAGUAUGGUAGCACGAGGGGAGCACGGGAGCUCGAGGGGAGUACGGGAGCACUAGGGGAGCUCGAGGGGAGCAUGCAGGGAGCUCAAAGGGCAGGCGAGGGCGGCUGGGGCCAGGACCUGCCUGCGGGUGUCCCAGCUUCCAUUCCCAAGGCUGCUGCACUUGGUCAGUCAACAAGCGCUUAUUCAUCUGCGACUGUGCCAGGAAGGGGCUUCACAAAGGAAGGCUCCCCCUGCUCCGUGGGGAGGGACAGAGGAGCCACUGAGGGAGGGGCGAAGGCCGCGGGGGAUGCUGGGAGGUAGAGGAGGAGGGCCGGGGGCGAGGUGAGGAGACCUGCGAGGGGGCCGGUCACACCAGACUGACCAGAGGAAAGCGCGAGAGGCCGGACGGGACAAGGGAGCAGCUAGAAGGCGCUCCAAACGCAGAGCAGGGCCUUCGGGCUCUCCUCCAUUCUGUAGGAAUCCUCGAUCCCCGCAGCACCGGGAUGGGGGGAGUGAAUCGGAGCAGGGAGCCCGGCAUAAGGGCCGUGCGUGGUCCGGGGCGGGGAGGGCCUGGCCAGGGCAUCUAGGCUGAGUGGCUGGGGGGCAGCGUUCUGCCCCCCCAUUCUGGGGAGGGCUCACGGCCCAUCGCUGGCUUCCCCCCCCCCGCACCCCCACUCCAGCCCUGGCUGCGGCUCUGUCUGACGAGGGAGGAGGGAAGAGGAAGGAGGCUCCGCGCAGGCUCCUCGGGGAGAGACAAACUCAUACACCCGGAGGGAGGAGGUGAGCGACCGGAGA
rnacentral:lncRNA from 1 species